UUCCUUUUAUCUUCAACCCGGAGCCCCACGGCGGCUAAUACAAGAGGCCAAAAAUGUUUGGAGGAAGAAAAACAAAGGCAGGAAGUGGCGGCGGCCUGACGGGUGCGUGUGUGUCUGUGGAGAAGGGAAAGUAGGGAGGGAGCUGGUUCAAUCUCUUGUUUUUCCUAACUUCAAGGUCUAGGCAG
rfam:Otolemur garnettii contig057533, whole genome shotgun sequence.